GAGAGGAAGGGAGAACGCCUCUCGCCUCUUUUGCUGCAUUAUCUUGGAGGCAUCCCAAACUUCUAUAGAGUUGGAUGACGCAGGCCUUCCUGUCUUUACUUAGGAAUUUUAUUGUUCAGCAAAUAUUUCCCCAAACCUCUAGUUGAGGAAUGUACUUCCCAACCAUUAAUGCUGAACUUGGCUGCGUGACUUGCUUGGGCUAAUGGGACAUUAGCAGAUACAAAGCAAGCAAAAGAUUGGAAUGUGCUUGCACUGUCGGACAUGCCUCCUUGGGCUUUUGCCAUUGCCGGGAGAAGAACAUGCCCUUCAGAUCGAGAAACCUGGGGAACAGAACCAGAUAUAGCAGGCCUGUGGCUUGAGGCAGAGCCUCCCCUGAAGACCUGCAGAUGCCGGAGUGAGGGGUAAAUGCUGACUGUUGUAUGCCAUCGAGUUUUGGAUGAUUUGUUAUGCAGCAUUAUUGAGGCCACAGUUGACUGAGAAAUACUAUUUUCAUGGCUCUGGCUAUGAACAUCAGCAUAUAGAGGAUGGAUCACUACCAAAGAAGGCACCCAAAUGUGUCCGUCUCAUCCUGAGGAAACCCACUCAUCUGUACAUGUACUCAGCAAGUGUUUGCUGGCACCUGCUCUGAGUCACAGGGUGUGCUGGGUACUGGAUGCUCAGAGAUGUGGAAGGAGGCUGGACUUUCAAGGUAAUGUACCCAUACCCACCUCGGGGACUUGAACAUGAAAAAAACAAAAGAUCACAGUGCAAGCUGAUAAAUACUCUGAUAGAGGUGUGGGAAGAAAUGCUCCAGGAGGAGCUCAGUGGAUUGGUGAAGUUUGCUUUAUUCAUUUAAGCAAAUAAAAAUGGGUUCUGGAUACA
rnacentral:lncRNA from 13 species